rnacentral:rRNA from 1 species
GAUGAACGCUAGCGGCAGGCUUAACACAUGCAAGUCGAGGGGCAGCGCGAUGUAGCAAUACAUUGGCGGCGACCGGCGCACGGGUGCGUAACACGUAUGGAACUUACCCUUUACUGGGAGAUAGCCCGGAGAAAUCCGGGUUAAUAUCCCAUAAUAAACGAAGUGGCAUCACUUUGUUUUGAAAGCUCCGGCGGUAAAGGAUGGCCAUGCGCACGAUUAGCUAGUAGGUGAGGUAACGGCUCACCUAGGCUACGAUCGUUAGGGGGCCUGAGAGGGUUAUCCCCCACACUGGUACUGAGACACGGACCAGACUCCUACGGGAGGCAGCAGUGAGGAAUAUUGCGCAAUGGAGGCAACUCUGACGCAGCCAUGCCGCGUGCAGGAAGAAGGCGCUACGCGUUGUAAACUGCUUUUAACCGGGAAGAAACCCUCCGACGUGUCGGAGGUUGACGGUACCGGAGGAAUAAGCACCGGCUAACUUCGUG